rnacentral:lncRNA from 13 species
UGGAAAGGAGAAAAGAGAAAGCAGGAAGUCUAUUUCCUUGAUGUAAAGAGUGAGAGCUCAUCUUGAUAGAGCUACACUUCUUGUCUUUUGCCUUCACAAUGCCAUCAUGAAACAUCUCUCAUCCACUUGCUUUAAAUAAAUAAUAGAAAGGUUUGAACUAAUAAGAAGAUGACUAAUAUUUUAAAGGUCUUUGAGGAAUCACCACACUGUCUUCCACAAUGGAUAGAAUCAGUAUCUCUGUGACACACUGUGCAUUUGCAUAUUGAGGAAGGAGAUCUGGAACUGGAGACAAGCCAUGGAGCAAACAAGCCAUCAGAGCGGCAGGAUCCCAUCUUCAGGAAAAGGACCUUGCUAAUGAAGAGAACUACAUGGGAAUGCCAACAAUAACUUAAAUAAAUCUUCCAAAAUCCUCUCUAACUUUCUAUAU